rnacentral:rRNA from 1 species
GACGAACGCUGGCGGCGUGCCUAAUACAUGCAAGUUGAGCGCUGAAGGUUGGUACUUGUACCAACUGGAUGAGCAGCGAACGGGUGAGUAACGCGUGGGGAAUCUGCCUUUGAGCGGGGGACAACAUUUGGAAACGAAUGCUAAUACCGCAUAAAAACUUUAAACACAAGUUUUAAGUUUGAAAGAUGCAAUUGCAUCGCUCAAAGAUGAUCCCGCGUUGUAUUAGCUAGUUGGUGAGGUAAAGGCUCACCAAGGCGAUGAUACAUAGCCGACCUGAGAGGGUGAUCGGCCACAUUGGGACUGAGACACGGCCCAAACGCCUACGGGAGGCAGCAGUAGGGAAUCUUCGGCAAUGGACGAAAGUCUGACCGAGCAACGCCGCGUGAGUGAAGAAGGUUUUCGGAUCGUAAAACUCUGUUGGUAGAGAAGAACGUUGGUGAGAGUGGAAAGCUCAUCAAGUGACGGUAACUACCCAGAAAGGGACGGCUAACUACGUG